rnacentral:tRNA from 1 species
UGUGGCUCAGCGGUAGAGCACUCGCCUGGAACCUGUGAGGCUCUGAGUUCAAUCCUCAGCA